CACAUGCAAGUCGAACGAUGAACCUCCUUCGGGAGGGGAUUAGUGGCGAACGGGUGAGUAACACGUGGGCAAUCUGCCCUUCACUCUGGGACAAGCCCUGGAAACGGGGUCUAAUACCGGAUACGACCUCCGACCGCAUGGUCUGGUGGUGGAAAGCUCCGGCGGUGAAGGAUGAGCCCGCGGCCUAUCAGCUUGUUGGUGGGGUGAUGGCCUACCAAGGCGACGACGGGUAGCCGGCCUGAGAGGGCGACCGGCC
rnacentral:rRNA from 1 species